UACAAGGAAGACUAGUGUUAUUCAUCUUAAUUAGGUUUAAAGGGUACCUAGACAGUAUUUCUAGCCUCAAAAGGGAACAGACUUACUAGAGUUUUAUGGGAGAGGAAAAUAUUAGAACCAUUGGAGUAGAGAUAAAAUGUUUUGAUACUAAUGGGACGGAUAGCGGCGAAGGCAAACCUCUAUGUAAUAACUGACGUUGAGGGACGAAAGCUAGGGGAGCGAAUGGG
rnacentral:rRNA from 1 species